UUCAUGCUCAUAUGUGCAGCAUGUGCUGGAAGUGUUUAACACGAACGUAACAGAAGUUCAGACCAAUGUUGGAGGAUAUACUGCCUAUUUGCCUCUGGUAAUGCUACAAAAGAUGUUGUACCUUGUCCUACGAUUAAAUGUACGAGGAGAGUUGAGUUUCUACAAGCCGAAGCUUCCCGCAGACUUGGUGUGUAUGGUUAGGAACCUGGAUUCUUUACCACAAUUCCAGAAGUGUCAAGGGAAACUUCAACAGGUACAUAUGUAAAUGUUAGAUGUAUCUGACAGGGAUUUGGUUUUCAGUACCUCUCUGCUCGAAGGGGAGACAA